GCCGGGUGUGGUGGCGCGCACCUGUAAUCCUAGCUACUCAGGAGGCUGAGACAGGAGAAUUGCUUGAACCUGGGAGGUAGAGGUUGCAAUGAGCUGAGAUCACGCCAUUGCACUCCAGCCUGGGCAACAGAGCGAGACUCUGUCUCAA
rnacentral:SRP_RNA from 1 species